rnacentral:lncRNA from 1 species
AAAGAGAAUCGCUCCCACCGAUUCCUUCCAAAUAAUCUUGAGCAAUUUCAUCAUCAACAUCUGAACCACUAUCAUGCAUGUCCUCGGAGUCAUCACUUUCAAAAGAAUCUGUCGCUCCAUCCUGCUCAGCCGACUCCGACUCUGAGUCUUCCUCAUCACCAUAUUCCGCAACAUCAUCGUCACCAUCUUCCUCAUCGGAUAUAUCUUCUGUAUAUAUUUUCAAUCCCCCAAUUGAUACAAACCCAUAAUUUUUCUUCGUGGAUGUAUCCUUUGACAAAAGUUGAGCCCGCUUUUCAGCUGCUCCAGAGUGAAAGCUCUCACGAUAAUCCACUUCGUGCUCAGGCGAUGACAUGCCACUCUGUCACUCUUCUUGAUUUUCCAUUUUCCCUGAUGAUGCUUCGAUUCCCGUUGGAGCUGCAUCGUAUUCAUUACAAUAACCCAAUCCUCUGUGUGAGCUAUCACCGAGAACAAAAUCUGAAUGAUACUCAAAACUGAUAUUUGCUUGAUCCACUGACGAUGGCCCUUCAUCUACAUAAGCAACAAUUUGGCUGUCCUUUGAACCACACAGAAUGAAAGGCUGAGAAAAUUCCAU